GGCAUUGUGGUGCAGUGGGCUAACGCAAUGGCGUACAUUGCCGAUAUCGCUGUUUCAAAUACAGCCGAUACCC
rnacentral:tRNA from 1 species